UACGUAGGGGGCAAGCGUUAUCCGGAAUUACUGGGUGUAAAGGGAGCGUAGGCGGCAUGGUAAGUAAGAUGUGAAAGCCCGAGGCUUAACCUCGAGGAUUGCAUUUUAAACUAUUAAGCUAGAGUACAGGAGAGGAAAGCGGAAUUCCUAGUGUAGCGGUGAAAUGCGUAGAUAUUAGGAAGAACACCAGUGGCGAAGGCGGCUUUCUGGACUGAAACUGACGCUGAGGCUCGAAAGCGUGGGGAGCGAACAGG
rnacentral:rRNA from 1 species